rnacentral:rRNA from 1 species
AUUGAACGCUGGCGGCAUGCCUUACACAUGCAAGUCGAACGGUAACGGGCCUUCGGGUGCCGACGAGUGGCGCACGGGUGAGUAAUACAUCGGAACGUGCCCGAUCGUGGGGGAUAACGAGGCGAAAGCUUUGCUAAUACCGCAUACGAUCUACGGAUGAAAGCAGGGGACCGCAAGGCCUUGCGCGGGCGGAGCGGCCGAUGGCAGAGUAGGUAGUUGGUGGGAUAAAAGCUUACCAAGCCGACGAUCUGUAGCUGGUCUGAGAGGAUGAUCAGCCACACUGGGACUGAGACACGGCCCAGACUCCUACGGGAGGCAGCAGUGGGGAAUUUUGGACAAUGGGCGCAAGCCUGAUCCAGCAAUGCCGCGUGCAGGAUGAAGGCCUUCGGGUUGUAAACUGCUUUUGUACGGAACGAAAAGCCUUCUUUUAAUACAGGAGGGUCAUGACGGUACCGUAAGAAUAAGCACCGGCUAACUACGUG